UCUACAGGCUUAACACAUGCAAGUCGAGGGGCAGCAUGGUCUUAGCUUGCUAAGGCCGAUGGCGACCGGCGCACGGGUGAGUAACACGUAUCCAACCUGCCGUCUACUCUUGGACAGCCUUCUGAAAGGAAGAUUAAUACAAGAUGGCAUCAUGAGUCCGCAUGUUCACAUGAUUAAAGGUAUUCCGGUAGACGAUGGGGAUGCGUUCCAUUAGAUAGUAGGCGGGGUAACGGCCCACCUAGUCUUCGAUGGAUAGGGGUUCUGAGAGGAAGGUCCCCCACAUUGGAACUGAGACACGGUCCAAACUCCUACGGGAGGCAGCAGUGAGGAAUAUUGGUCAAUGGGCGAGAGCCUGAACCAGCCAAGUAGCGUGAAGGAUGACUGCCCUAUGGGUUGUAAACUUCUUUUAUAAAGGAAUAAAGUCGGGUAUGGAUACCCGUUUGCAUGUACUUUAUGAAUAAGGAUCGGCUAACUCCGUGCCAGCAGCCGCGGUAAUACGGAGGAUCCGAGCGUUAUCCGGAUUUAUUGGGUUUAAAGGGAGCGUAGAUGGAUGUUUAAGUCAGUUGUGAAAGUUUGCGGCUCAACCGUAAAAUUGCAGUUGAUACUGGAUAUCUUGAGUGCAGUUGAGGCAGGCGGAAUUCGUGGUGUAGCGGUGAAAUGCUUAGAUAUCACGAAGAACUCCGAUUGCGAAGGCAGCCUGCUAAGCUGCAACUGACAUUGAGGCUCGAAAGUGUGGGUAUCAAACAGGAUUAGAUACCCUGGUAGUCCACACGGUAAACGAUGAAUACUCGCUGUUUGCGAUAUACUGCAAGCGGCCAAGCGAAAGCGUUAAGUAUUCCACCUGGGGGGUACGCCGGCAACGGUGAAACUCAAAGGAAUUGACGGGGGCCCGCACAAGCGGAGGAACAUGUGGUUUAAUUCGAUGAUACGCGAGGAACCUUACCCGGGCUUAAAUUGCAGAUGAAUUACGGUGAAAGCCGUAAGCCGCAAGGCAUCUGUGAAGGUGCUGCAUGGUUGUCGUCAGCUCGUGCCGUGAGGUGUCGGCUUAAGUGCCAUAACGAGCGCAACCCUUGUUGUCAGUUACUAACAGGUUCCGCUGAGGACUCUGACAAGACUGCCAUCGUAAGAUGUGAGGAAGGUGGGGAUGACGUCAAAUCAGCACGGCCCUUACGUCCGGGGCUACACACGUGUUACAAUGGGGGGUACAGAGGGCCGCUACCACGCGAGUGGAUGCCAAUCCCCAAAACCUCUCUCAGUUCGGACUGGAGUCUGCAACCCGACUCCACGAAGCUGGAUUCGCUAGUAAUCGCGCAUCAGCCACGGCGCGGUGAAUACGUUCCCGGGCCUUGUACACACCGCCCGUCAAGCCAUGGGAGCCGGGGGUACCUGAAGUGCGUAACCGCGAGGAGCGCCCUAGGGUAAAACUGGUGACUG
rnacentral:rRNA from 1 species